rnacentral:tRNA from 1 species
GCCUCUGUAGCUCAGUUGGUUAGAGCGCUGCACCGGAAUCGCAGGGCCGUAGGUUCAAAUCCUACCAGAGGAC